UCCCGAAGAAAAAUCGUUCGGUCCCUGCCAGAGGGAAGGUCAACAGGACAGAUGCUUGAUGCGGGUGACGCGGGCGAUUGAUCUCCGAGGGGAUCCAUCCCUUGCGCGCGAUGCAGGGUACGCGGGGGCGGCUCGGUCCAGAGGACAGGCCGAUGCUUCAUCUGAUCGAAACUGCUCCGCUGAAACUUGAAAGAGGCAAUAAUACUUCAGUUUCUAUUCACACAUUCAUGGUGGCUGAUGUGCCGAUCUUUUCCACUGCCGAAGGGUGCAGAGACGACUGGAAGCGAGGAAAUUCAGAGCGGCGCAGUGUGAUGCUAGGUGACUUGGGGAGAUGCAGUGGCAAGCGGCCGAGAUAGGUGACAUGGGGCCUUGCCAAUCGAUGUGAAGAAGGUCUCACCGACUGAUGCAGGGAAGUUCAUCCGUCGUUUUUCAAAAGAGGAGUCAAGCAAGCAGACGUCUGUAUGUUUCGUAUAGCAAUUAAUGGCACUCGAGGGAACGGUGCCGGCGGAUGGUCGAGGUGCGAUACAAUUUUGCACUCCUAUGAUAUGAGUUAGUUAGCAUGGAAUGCUAAGUGAAGACUAUUGAAGUAUGGUUCUGGAAAAUUUUCGGAAAAAUAUUCACGAGUUGAUUAUUUGCAAUGGCAAUCAGGUUAGUUAGCAUGGAAUGCUAAGUGAAGAUGGGUUUCUUGUCCACUGUAUACUGUAGUCUGUACUCUGCUAUGUAGGAGAGUGGCAAGGAAGAUACAUACUUUAAGCUAUUAUAGGCCCGAGCUACAUCUCAAUCCUAUAAAGACUUUUUUCUUUUCUUUGGGAAGGUCUUUUACCAGGCCAAAAAGUGCGGGAGCUCACAACGUGCUGUAACUCUGGUCCUGAGCAUGUACGCUGACCUUACUAUAUAUCUCACCGACUAGAUCGUAUCACACGACAAGUUUCAUCUAUCCUUCACAUACAUUCAGACAACAAAGGUACAUAAGAUCCUAUAUCAUUUUUCUCUAAUCUAAUUCAUUUAAUCUAAACAGUUUAGAAGGUCACUGAUGGAGAACAUUUCCCAUUUCAUACUGAAUCAUAACCAUUCAGAUUUAUAUUUAUUGAUUUGUGCUACUGCUGUUCAAUUUUUGCACCUUUUAAAUUUAUGCAGACAAGUUGUUUGAUGUAUGCCCAACUAAGCUGCAGAUCAUUGUUACUGAAUUGAUGCAUAAAUUACUUUCUUUUCAUAUUUUGUAAUUUUGUAGUUGAAGCAAUUCGUCAAGAACAGACUAAUUCGUAUUUGUCUCAUUCAUAGAUCUAGCAUAGUUUAUUUCUAUCAUUGGCAUGCAUAGAACAUUUUGUGUUUGCAACGCCAUAUAAGAUAACAAGGGAUUAUUAUUUUGCGGAUCAAGAAAAUUAUUUGGAGAUAACGUCAUGGGAAGGAGUAUCAUUGGAAUAUUUCUGUUCUCCCUCUGAAAGUUUUAACAAACUAUUAAAUACCCCAUUGAAAUGAAUCUCACCUAUUCAAAUUUCAUAGGUGAAGCAUUAUUAUUAUUAUUAUUAUUAUUAUUAUUAUUAUUAUUAUUAUUAUUAUUAUUAUUAUUAUUAUAUAUUUUUAUCAUACCACUUCUGAUGCUUGAAACUCUAUAACAUUUCAACGAUCUCCUAACUUUGUCUUUAAACAUCUCCUUCCACCGAUCUCCACUAGCCGGUGCGCUGGCCCCCUCUUCCUCCGGCCGCUGCUCCGACAGCGGGAGGGAGGGGGGACCCCGUUCCUAUGCUCUGUAGUUAGGUUUUGGAUUUGUAGGUCGUGGUGCGUCGUUGGGGUGGUGGGAGCGGCGCACAAACGAAUAAAUCUGCCUCAGCUUCACUAGAGGGCCAGAUCGUCGACCUGAGCGCCGAAUCCCUAGCCUCCCGAAGAAAAAUCGUUCGGUCCCUGCCAGAGGGAAGGUCAACAGGACAGAUGCGUGAUGCGGGUGACGCGGGCGAUUGAUCUCCGAGGGGAUCCAUCCCUUGCGCGCGAUGCGGGGUACGCGGGGGCGGCUCGGUCCAGAGGACAGGCCGACGCUUCAUCUGAUCGAAACUGCUCCGCUGAAACUUGAAAGAGGCAAUAAUACUUCAGUUUCUAUUCACACAUUCAUGGUGGCUGAUGUGCCGAUCUUUUCCACUGCCGAAGGGUGCAGGUACGUGUAUAUAUGCCUCCUCCCCUAUCACUUUUUUCUCACCCUUUCCGUCGCUACACCUCCCAAAGAAGCUUCAAUCUGAUCUAGCGCUGUACCAGAGACGACUGGAAGCGAGGAAAUUCAUAGGUGAAGCAUUAUUAUUAUUAUUAUUAUUAUUAUUAUAUCUUUUUUUAUCAUACCACUUCUGAUGCUUGAAACUCUAUAACAUUUGAACGAUGUCCUGACUCUGUUUUUAAACAUCUCCUUCCACCGAUCUCCACUAGCCUGUGCGCUGGCCCCCUCUCCCUCCGGCCGCUGCUCCGGCGGCAGGAGGGAGGGGGUACCCCGUUCCUAUGCUCUGUAGUUAGGUUUUGGAUUUGUAGGUCGUGGUGCGUCGUUGGGGUGGUGGAAGCGGCGCACAGACGAAUAAAUCUGCCUCAGCUUCACUCCCAUACCGGCGGUGCCCUUCACGGCGGCGUCUCGGAGUUGAUGGCAUCGUGUCUCUGCCGAUCCUUCAGAUCAGCAGCGUUAGGGUUCAUGGAUGGUGUUGGCGAGGCGGUGGCGACGACUCCAUCAGGUGUGUCUCUCCUUCUGCUCUGUCCCCGUUGCUAUGGCGUUGUCUCCGAUAUCAUGGUGGAGCAGGGAGGUUUUGUCGUUCAGGAGUACGCGCAGACGGUUGUCUACGCAAGUGACAGCUGAAAGAUGGAGAAUCUUGUGCUGGGUCUGUGGUUGAAGGCUGACAGUUCUGGUUUCCUCCUCCGACGUCGUCGUCAUGUGGGGGUGUCAGUUCUGAAGUUCGAUGGCAUGUCCGGGGACAUGUUGCCCCGGUCUGAUUCUUUCAACGGCUAUGGUUUUGCUUCUGGCAAACUACUUUGGAGAUCCCCAAAGCUGCUGAUCAACGAUGGAGCCGCGUCGAGUUUGGGUGAAGAGGUGAUCUGUCUUCUUACCCUUUGGUGGCCGCUUCGGUGGUGUCGAAGGAGAGGGACAGACGUUGGUAUUUUGCAUAGGAUUUUCCUAUCUCUUUAGUCUUGUAUAGUCGGUGCUUACGUGCCUUGUAACUUGAUCUUUAUUCUAUAUAAAUGAGACACGUAUUACCAUGCAAAUAAA